rnacentral:lncRNA from 1 species
AUAAAAGGGGCAUUAGCUACAUGAUAUAACAUGAUUUUGUUUUGGUUCAAUAAUUAAUAAAACAAGAAUGUGUCCAAAGAACACGAAUGCCCCAUUCGCAUUAUCAUUUUCCAUGUUCAAUGGACCGUGAAAUUGGGAUCAAAAUUUAAUUUGGCAUGAAAAUUAGAAAGAUCAAACCAUAAGGAACACGUGUACUAAGUUUCAAGUUGAUUGGACUUCAAUUUCAUCAAAAACUACCUUGACCAAAAAAU